rnacentral:sRNA from 1 species
GCAACGAGACUCCCAUUUGCACACACGCAGUGCAAGGCUGCCUGUCGCUCCCCUACAGAGGCGACACCGGCCGGCAUAUCCGCAGAUCACGUUUUCUCCUCGACAAGUCUCUAUGACAUCGAAACCAUACGUAUGCGAGGUUUUCUCACGCGGCGGAUAUUCUUAAAGAGGGUAUACUCAUUCACCUUUGAAGAGCAACGGGAGAAUUCCUGUUCCCAUAGAUCACGCGAAGUUCCAGAAACCAGAUGUGCGAACCGACAUUCUAAGAGUCUCUCUUCCAAGAAGUGUCGGGCAGUGAACACAAGCAAGGGAAC